CAAAACUUUCAACAACGGAUCUCUUGGCUCUGGCAUCGAUGAAGAACGCAGCGAAAUGCGAUACGUAAUGUGAAUUGCAGAAUUCAGCGAACCAUCGAAUCUUUGAACGCACAUUGCGCCCGCCAGCAUUCUGGCGGGCAUGCCUGUCCGAGCGUCAUUUCCCCCCU
rnacentral:rRNA from 5 species